ensembl:lncRNA
AUGUGCAGCCCAAAUUCCAGAACCUCCUUUAAUUUUCUUAACCUCUCCCCAGCAGAGUUUGGAAUUCAGCCCCCCCAGAGAGAUGCUGUACCCAGGAAACACCCCCUUCCCCAAGUGACUGACCUCAUCUUUACAUCGUUUCUUUUCCAGCUGCCUCAAUUGCAGGGUGGGCAGCUGCAGUGUUCUCUCUCCUGCUGCUUACCUCUUCGCCGGUGUAGACACAGGCAGAAUGCCUGCUCUACUUCCUCUGGGCUGCUGCGGAGCUCUAACGACAUAAUGGAUAUGAAAACACGUUGAGUGAGCCAGAGUACUGUACAAUCAUUGCAUCCCUUAACCAAUGUGAUGGAGAGACACUCAUAGCGGAGGGAAUUAUUGUGAACGAGAGGAAGACGAGGGCACAUGCAUCUGAACAACAGCAAAAAAAGGUACUGGUUCUAAUGGUUUUAAAUGGCUCCAAAUAUUUCCCUGAAUUUGGAGAAGUGCCAUUAACUUAACUCCGUAGGACAUAACCCCACUAAGGCCAGAAUCAUGUGGUAACCUCCAUGACUUAGAACGUUCUGGCUGCUAUAACAAAAAUGACCAUAAACUUGGUGGCUUAUAAAUAGCAGAUAUUUAUUUCCUGUAGUUCCACAGACUGGGAAGGCCAAGAUCAAGGCACUGGCAGAUUUUGUGUCUGAUGAAAACCUGCAUCCUGGUUCUUGGUCGUCUUCUUCCAACAGUCUCUCUGGGGUCUCUUUCACAAAGGCAUUAAUCUCAGUCACAGUGUGGCUGUGCCCUCAUGAUCUAAUCAUCCCCCCCCCCUCCGCCGCCCCGAGGCCUCACCUCCAAGUACCAUCACAUUAGGGACUAGGUUUUAGCAUGAAUUUGGGGGUUCAUAGUCUAUAACACCACAUGAUCUAAUUGACAUUUUUUUGGAGUCCAGUCGGAACUGCGGCUGAAGCCGAUGUCACAGCCACAGCAACACCGGAUCCACAGCAACACCGGAUCCAAGCCCCAUCUGCGAUCUUUGCCCCGACUUAUGGUAACACUGGAUCCUUAACCCCCCUGAACCGGCAUCCUCACAGAGAAAAUGUCGGGUCCCGCUGAGCCACAACUGGGAUCUCCUAAUUGACCGUAUUUUUGUUAUUCUAAAAAAAUCCUGUGUUGAUUGAAUUGACUUUAGUCUAUUGUGUAUAUGAUCCUAUUUCCCCAACUGCAUUCAUUCAAUUUAUCAGAAAUGUGAACCGUUGAUUUACUAAUGACUAUUUUUUUUUUUUUUUGUCUUUUUGCCAUUUCUUGGGCCGUUCCUGCAGCAUAU